GGGCGAAGCUGAGAACUUAAGCGCCAGUAAACGGCGGUGGUAACUAUAACCAUCCUAAGGUAGCGAAAUUCCUUGUCGGGUAAGUUCCGACCUGCACGAAUGGCGUAACGACUUCUCGACUGUCUCAACCAUAGGCCCGGUGAAAUUGCACUACGAGUAAAGAUGCUCGUUUCGCGCAGCAGGACGGAAAGACCCCGGGACCUUUACUACAGUUUGAUAUUGGUGUUCGGUUCGGCUUGUGUAGGAUAGCUGGGAGACUGUGAAGCGCUAACGCCAGUUAGUGUGGAGUCGUCGUUGAAAUACCAGUCUGGUCGUGCUGGAUGUCUAACCUGGGUCCGUGAUCCGGAUCAGGGACAGUGUCUGAUGGGUAGUUUAACUGGGGCGGUUGCCUCCUAAAGGGUAACGGAGGCGCCCAAAGGUUCCCUCAGCCUGGUUGGCAAUCAGGUGUUGAGUGUAAGUGCACAAGGGAGCUUGACUGUGAGACCGACGGGUCGAGCAGGGACGAAAGUCGGGACUAGUGAUCCGGCGGUGGCUUGUGGAAGCGCCGUCGCUCAACGGAUAAAAGGUACCCCGGGGAUAACAGGCUGAUCUUCCCCAAGAGUCCAUAUCGACGGGAUGGUUUGGCACCUCGAUGUCGGCUCGUCGCAUCCUGGGGCUGGAGUCGGUCCCAAGGGUUGGGCUGUUCGCCCAUUAAAGCGGUACGCGAGCUGGGUUUAGAACGUCGUGAGACAGUUCGGUCCCUAUCCGCUGUGCGCGUAGGAGUCUUGAGAAGGGCUGUCCCUAGUACGAGAGGACCGGGACGGACGAACCUCUGGUGUGCCAGUUGUUCUGCCAAGGGCAUGGCUGGUUGGCUACGUUCGGGAGGGAUAACCGCUGAAAGCAUCUAAGCGGGAAGCCUGCUUCGAGAUGAGGACUCCCACCCACUUGAUGGGGUAAGGCUCCCAGUAGACGACUGGGUUGAUAGGCCGGAUAUGGAAGCACGGUAACGUGUGGAGUUGACCGGUACUAAUAGGCCGAGGGCUUGUCCUC
rnacentral:rRNA from 1 species